ACGGCGUCUAAUACUGGAUAUGUGACGUGACCGCAUGGUCUGCGUUUGGAAAGAUUUUUCGGUUGGGGAUGGGCUCGCGGCCUAUCAGCUUGUUGGUGAGGUAAUGGCUCACCAAGGCGUCGACGGGUAGCCGGCCUGAGAGGGUGACCGGCCACACUGGGACUGAGACACGGCCCAGACUCCUACGGGAGGCAGCAGUGGGGAAUAUUGCACAAUGGGCGAAAGCCUGAUGCAGCAACGCCGCGUGAGGGAUGACGGCCUUCGGGUUGUAAACCUCUUUUAGCAGGGAAGAAGCGAAAGUGACGGUACCUGCAGAAAAAGCGCCGGCUAACUACGUGCCAGCAGCCGCGGUAAUACGUAGGGCGCAAGCGUUAUCCGGAAUUAUUGGGCGUAAAGAGCUCGUAGGCGGUUUGUCGCGUCUGCUGUGAAAUCCCGAGGCUCAACCUCGGGCCUGCAGUGGGUACGGGCAGACUAGAGUGCGGUAGGGGAGAUUGGAAUUCCUGGUGUAGCGGUGGAAUGCGCAGAUAUCAGGAGGAACACCGAUGGCGAAGGCAGAUCUYUGGGCCGUAACUGACGCUGAGGAGCGAAAGGGUGGGGAGCAAACAGGCUUAGAUACCCUGGUAGUCCACCCCGUAAACGUUGGGAACUAGUUGUGGGGUCCAUUCCACGGAUUCCGUGACGCAGCUAACGCAUUAAGUWCCCCGCCUGGGGAGUACGGCCGCAAGGCUAAAACUCAAAGGAAUUGACGGGGACCCGCACAAGCGGCGGAGCAUGCGGAUUAAUUCGAUGCAACGCGAAGAACCUUACCAAGGCUUGACAUAUACGAGAACGGGCCAGAAAUGGUCAACUCUUUGGACACUCGUAAACAGGUGGUGCAUGGUUGUCGUCAGCUCGUGUCGUGAGAUGUUGGGUUAAGUCCCGCAACGAGCGCAACCCUCGUUCUAUGUUGCCAGCACGUAAUGGUGGGAACUCAUGGGAUACUGCCGGGGUCAACUCGGAGGAAGGUGGGGAUGACGUCAAAUCAUCAUGCCCCUUAUGUCUUGGGCUUCACGCAUGCUACAAUGGCCGGUACAAAGGGCUGCAAUACCGUGAGGUGGAGCGAAUCCCAAAAAAGCCGGUCCCAGUUUCGGAUUGAGGUCUGCAACUCCACCUCAUGAAGUCGGAGUCGCUG
rnacentral:rRNA from 1 species